rnacentral:rRNA from 2 species
UACGUAGGGUGCGAGCGUUGUCCGGAAUUAUUGGGCGUAAAGAGCUUGUAGGUGGCUCGUUGCGUCGGGAGUGAAAACCUGCGGCUUAACCGCAGGCCUGCUUCCGAUACGGGCGAGCUAGAGUUCGGCAGGGGAGACUGGAAUUCCUGGUGUAGCGGUGGAAUGCGCAGAUAUCAGGAGGAACACCGGUGGCGAAGGCGGGUCUCUGGGCCGAUACUGACACUGAGAAGCGAAAGCGUGGGGAGCGAACAGG